CGUUUCCGGUUUCCCGCUCUGCAUUGCAGUCGAGCGAUGAGGGGAGCUUGCUCCCUGAUUUAACGGCGGACGGGUGAGUAAUGUAUAGGGAGCUGCCCGACAGAGGGGGAUACCAGUUGGAAACUACUGUUAAUACCGCAUAAUGUCUACGGACCAAAGUGUGGGACCUUCGGGCCACAUGCUGUCGGAUGCACCUAUAUGGGAUUAGCUAGUUGGUGGGGUAAUGGCUCACCAAGGCGACGAUCCCUAGCUGGUUUGAGAGGAUGAUCAGCCACACUGGAACUGAGACACGGUCCAGACUCCUACGGGAGGCAGCAGUGGGGAAUAUUGGACAAUGGGCGCAAGCCUGAUCCAGCCAUGCCGCGUGUGUGAAGAAGGCCUUCGGGUUGUAAAGCACUUUCAGCGAGGAGGAAGGGUGUUGUGUUAAUAGCGCAGCAUUUUGACGUUACUCGCAGAAGAAGCACCGGCUAACUCCGUGCCAGCAUCCGCGGUAAUACGGAGGGUGCAAGCGUUAAUCGGAAUUACUGGGCGUAAAGCGCACGUAGGCGGUGUGUUAAGUUGGAUGUGAAAGCCCCGGGCUCAACCUGGGAAUUGCAUUCCAACUGGCACGCUAGAGUAUGUGAGAGGGGGGUAGAAUUCCAAGUGUAACGGUGAAAUGCGUAGAGAUUUGGAGGAAUACCAGUGGCGAAGGCGGCCCCCUGGCACAAUACUGACGCUCAUGUGCGAAAGCGUGGGGAGCAAACAGGAUUAGAUACCCUGGUAGUCCACGCCGUAAACGAUGUCUACUAGCUGUUCGUGGUCUUGUACUGUGAUUAGCGCAGCUCACGCACUAACUAGACCGCCUGGGGAGUACGGUCGUCAAGAUGUAAAACUCAAAUGAAUUUGACAGGGCGGACCCUGCACAAGCGGUCGUAGCAUGGUGGUUUUAACUCGACGACAUACGCGAAUAGAAGCCUUACCCUACCUCUUGACAUCUACAGACAUGUUUGGCAGAGAUGCCGAUGGUGCCUUCGGCAGCUGAUAAAGAACAGCUGACUGGCAUGGCUGAUCGAUCAGCAUCAUGCUUUGUGUAACUGCUCGGAUAGGUCCCUGCAACCGAGCGCGACCUCUUUAUCCAUAGCUUGCCAAGCACGUGAAUUCAUGCUAACUCUAGUGAGAACUGACGUUGCAUUCAGUUG
rnacentral:rRNA from 1 species